rnacentral:rRNA from 1 species
GAGUUUGAUCCUGGCUCAAGAUAAACGCUGGCGGCGCACAUAAGACAUGCAAGUCGAACGGAAGUCGUUGUAAUGAUGUGGACAUAGACAGAGAACUUGUUCGAAGAAAAUGAAAAUUGACUUACAACAAUGGCUUUAGUGGCGGACUGGUGAGUAACGCGUGAGCAACCUGCCUGUUAGAGGGGAAUAACAGUGAGAAAUCAUUGCUAAUACCGCAUAUGCCAUAACUAUCACAUGAUAGAAGUGGGAAAGGAGUAAUCCGCUAACAGAUGGGCUCGCGUCUGAUUAGAUAGUUGGUGGGGUAACGGCCUACCAAGUCUACGAUCAGUAGCCGGACUGAGAGGUUGAACGGCCACAUUGGGACUGAGAUACGGCCCAGACUCCUACGGGAGGCAGCAGUCGGGAAUAUUGCGCAAUGGAGGAAACUCUGACGCAGUGACGCCGCGUAUAGGACGAAGGUCUUCGGAUUGUAAACUAUUGUCGUUAGGGAAGAGAAAGGACAGUACCUAAGGAGGAAGCUCCGGCUAACUACGUGCCAGCAGCCGCGGUAAUACGUANGGAGCAAGCGUUAUCCGGAUUUAUUGGGUGUAAAGGGUGC